rnacentral:rRNA from 1 species
GACGAACGCUGGCGGCGGGCUUAACACAUGCAAGUCGAACGGAAAGGCCCUGCUUUUGUGGGGUGCUCGAGUGGCGAACGGGUGAGUAACACGUGAGUAACCUGCCCUUGACUUUGGGAUAACUUCAGGAAACUGGGGCUAAUACCGGAUAGGAGCUCCUGCUGCAGGGUGGGGGUUGGAAAGUUUCGGCGGUUGGGGAUGGACUCGCGGCUUAUCAGCUUGUUGGUGGGGUAGUGGCUUACCAAGGCUUUGACGGGUAGCCGGCCUGGGAGGGUGACCGGCCACAUUGGGACUGAGAUACGGCACAGACUCCUACGGGAGGCAGCAGUGGGGAAUAUUGCACAAUGGGCGGAAGCCUGAUGCAGCAACGCCGCGUGCGGGAUGACGGCCUUCGGGUUGUAAACCGCUUUCGCCUGUGACGAAGCGUGAGUGACGGUAAUGGGUAAAGAAGCACCGGCUAACUACGUG